rnacentral:rRNA from 1 species
CCACCCGAGACUCAGUGAAAUUGAAAUCGCUGUGAAGAUGCAGUGUAUCCGCGGCUAGACGGAAAGACCCCGUGAACCUUUACUGUAGCUUUGCACUGGACUUUGAGCCUGCUUGUGUAGGAUAGGUGGGAGGCUUUGAAGCGUGGACGCCAGUUCGCGUGGAGCCAUCCUUGAAAUACCACCCUGGCAUGCUUGAGGUUCUAACUCUGGUCCGUGAUCCGGAUCGAGGACAGUGUAUGGUGGGCAGUUUGACUGGGGCGGUCUCCUCCUAAAGAGUAACGGAGGAGUACGAAGGUGCGCUCAGACCGGUCGGAAAUCGGUCGUAGAGUAUAAAGGCAAAAGCGCGCUUGACUGCGAGACAGACACGUCGAGCAGGUACGAAAGUAGGUCUUAGUGAUCCGGUGGUUCUGUAUGGAAGGGCCAUCGCUCAACGGAUAAAAGGUACUCCGGGGAUAACAGGCUGAUACCGCCCAAGAGUUCAUAUCGACGGCGGUGUUUGGCACCUCGAUGUCGGCUCAUCACAUCCUGGGGCUGAAGCCGGUCCCAAGGGUAUGGCUGUUCGCCAUUUAAAGUGGUACGCGAGCUGGGUUUAGAACGUCGUGAGACAGUUCGGUCCCUAUCUGCCGUGGACGUUUGAGAUUUGAGAGGGGCUGCUCCUAGUACGAGAGGACCGGAGUGGACGAACCUCUGGUGUUCCGGUUGUCACGCCAGUGGCAUUGCCGGGUAGCUAUGUUCGGAAAAGAUAACCGCUGAAAGCAUCUAAGCGGGAAACUUGCCUCAAGAUGAGAUCUCACUGGGAACUUGAUUCCCCUGAAGGGCCGUCGAAGACUACGACGUUGAUAGGCUGGGUGUGUAAGCGUUGUGAGGCGUUGAGCUAACCAGUACUAAUUGCCCGUGAGGCUUGACCAUAUAACACCCAAACA